rnacentral:lncRNA from 1 species
GUAGUUCCAAAUUUUCAUAUCCUUUAUCUUUAUUUUAUAUUAAAUAUAAUAAUUCUCUAAUGUUAUAAAGAGCUUUUUUUUUUUAGUGUUAUUAAGCCUUCACAUAUUACCUUCAUAGUGCUGGAAAAGCAUGAGUCCGCAGGAGGUUUACACCGUGAGGAGGACUCUUACUUAAGAAUCAUGUAAUUUCUUGAAACUAAAAUUAUUGCUUAAACGGGUUUUUUUUUCAUGCUGAUUUUCC